UAAUGCUUAGGAAUCUGCCUAUUAGUGGGGGACAACAUCUCGAAAGGGAUGCUAAUACCGCAUACGUCCUACGGGAGAAAGCAGGGGACCUUCGGGCCUUGCGCUAAUAGAUGAGCCUAAGUCGGAUUAGCUAGUUGGUGGGGUAAAGGCCUACCAAGGCGACGAUCUGUAGCGGGUCUGAGAGGAUGAUCCGCCACACUGGGACUGAGACACGGCCCAG
rnacentral:rRNA from 1 species